UACGUAGGGGGCUAGCGUUGUCCGGAAUCAUUGGGCGUAAAGCGCGUGUAGGCGGCCCGGUAAGUCCGCUGUGAAAGUCGGGGGCUUAACCCUCGGAUGCCGGUGGAUACUGUCGGGCUUGAGUACGGAAGAGGCGAGUGGAAUUCCUGGUGUAGCGGUGAAAUGCGCAGAUAUCAGGAGGAACACCUAUUGCGAAGGCAGCUCGCUGGGACGUGACUGACGCUGAGGUGCGAAAGCGUGGGGAGCAAACAGG
rnacentral:rRNA from 1 species